rnacentral:rRNA from 1 species
UACAGAGACUGCAAGCGUUAUUCGGAUUCACUGGGCGUAAAGGGUGCGCAGGCGGUUGGGUGUGUCAGAUGUGAAAUCCCGAGGCUUAACCUCGGAACUGCGUCUGAAACUACUCGACUAGAGUAUUGGAGAGGGUAACGGAAUUCACGGUGUAGCAGUGAAAUGCGUAGAUAUCGUGAGGAACACCAGAGGCGAAGGCGGUUACCUGGACAAUUACUGACGCUCAGGCACGAAAGCAUGGGGAGCAAAA